UUGACCAUUUCAUACACAAUGAGUUGUGGCC
rnacentral:piRNA from 1 species